rnacentral:rRNA from 1 species
ACAUCCAGAGAACUUAGCAGAGAUGCUUUGGUGCCUUCGGGAACUCUGAGACAGGUGCUGCAUGGCUGUCGUCAGCUCGUGUUGUGAAAUGUUGGUUAAGUCCCGNAACGAGCGCAACCCUUAUCCUUUGUUGCCAGCGGUUCGGCCGGGAACUCAAAGGAGACUGCCGGUGAUAAACCGGAGGAAGGUGGGGAUGACGUCAAGUCAUCAUGGCCCUUACGGCCAGGGCUACACACGUGCUACAAUGGCGCAUACAAAGAGAAGCGACCUCGCGAGAGCAAGCGGACCUCAUAAAGUGCGUCGUAGUCCGGAUUGGAGUCUGCAACUCGACUCCAUGAAGUCGGAAUCGCUAGUAAUCGUAGAUCAGAAUGCUACGGUGAAUACGUUCCCGGGCCUUGUACACACCGCCCGUCACACCAUGGGAGUGGGUUGCAAAAGAAGUAGGUAGCUUAACCUUCGGGAGGGCGCUUACCACUUUGUGAUUCAUGACUGGGGUGAAGUCGUAACAAGGUAGGCGUAGCGAG